rnacentral:tRNA from 1 species
GGAGAGGUCGCAUAGUGGCCGAGUGCGCUCGCUUGGAAAGCGAGUACAGCGCAAGCUGUCGAGGGUUCGAAUCCCUCUCUCUCCG